CCUAGAAUUGUAGGCUUUGCCUGCUAUCUCUUACCCAUGUCUUUUGAGUACCUUCGUUUCCUCGGCGGGUCCGCCCGCCGAUUGGACAAUUUAAACCAUUUGCAGUUGCAAUCAGCGUCUGAAAAAACUUAAUAGUUA
rnacentral:misc_RNA from 1 species